UAGCUAGUUGGUAGGGUAAAGGCCUACCAAGGCGACGAUCGGUAGCUGGUCUGAGAGGAUGGCCAGCCACACUGGGACUGAGACACGGCCCAGACUCCUACGGGAGGCAGCAGUGGGGAAUAUUGGACAAUGGGGGCAACCCUGAUCCAGCAAUGCCGCGUGUGUGAAGAAGGCCUGAGGGUUGUAAAGCACUUUCAGUGGGGAGGAGGACUGAUUGGUUAAGAGCUGAUUAGUUGGACGUUACCCACAGAAGAAGCACCGGCUAACUCCGUGCUAGCAGCCGCGGUAAUACGGAGGGUGCGAGCGUUAAUCGGAAUUACUGGGCGUAAAGGGUGCGUAGGUGGUUAGAUAAGUUAGCUGUGAAAUCCCCGGGCUUAACCUGGGCAGGUCAGCUAAGACUGUUUGACUCGAGUAUGGGAGAGGGUAGUGGAAUUUCCGGUGUAGCGGUGAAAUGCGUAGAGAUCGGAAGGAACACCAGUGGCGAAGGCGGUUACCUGGCCUAAUACUGACACUGAGGCACGAAAGCGUGGGGAGUAAACAGGAUUAGAUACCCUGGUAGUCCACGCUGUAAACGAUGUCAACUAGUUGUUGGCCUUAUGAAUGAGGUUAGUGACGC
rnacentral:rRNA from 1 species